AUAGCUUAGUUGGUGAUCUGCAUGGCAUGCAGGGGCAGGGGUUCAAAUCCCCUUGGCUCCA
rnacentral:tRNA from 1 species